AUGGAGCCUUUCACUAAGAUUUCCAAAGAAGUCCUGGGAAGUCAAGCAGUGUGUCCACGAGAGAUAAAUGCAUGCAACUAUGAGAGUAAAGCUGAAGGUGCAACGGAGACACAGAAAGUUGGAGAUGUCAAGGAUGUGGAAUGUUUACUGAAGAAAACAGCCAGCAACCGGAGCCACCAGGAGCACUCGCAAACACGGACUAGGGCUGCUGUGCCGCGAGAGCAGCUGUGCCAUGAGACCCUCCCUCGCUUGUUUCUGCUUCUCUGGCUGGUGUUCCCUGCCACAGUGUUGCUCUGCAGACGCCCCGCAGGCUCAUUAGCUGUGGCUCAAGAUCUUACAGAGGAUGAAAAAACAGUGGAAGAUUCAAUAAUUGAAGAUGGUGAUGAGGAAGCUGAAGUAGAAGAAGAUGAACCCGCAGAUUUGGCAGGAGAUAAAGAGGAACAAGAUGUAUCUGGUGAACCCGAAGCAUCACCGAGCACAGGCACAGCUAUCCUAUUUGUAAAAGAAGAUUUUCCAGCAAAUAAUGCUGUGAAGUUCCUGGUGGGCUUCACAAACAAGGGUACAGAAGAUUUUAUUGUCGAGUCCUAGAUGCCUCAUUCCACUAUCCUCAGGACUACCAGUUCUACAUCCAGAAUUUCACGGCUCUUCCUCUGAACAUAUCAUGCUACCCUAGAGAAAGGCCACUUCUGAGUACUCCUUCAUUCCUGCAGAGCCAAUGGGUGGAUGGCCCUUUGAUCCGAUCAUCAACUUGAACUACAAGGAUUUGAAUGGCAAUGUAUUCCAGGAUGCUGUCUUCAGACUGUUAUCGUUAUCAGGACGGGUAGAUGGAGAAACGAUCUGUAUGUAUAUGCUCCUUGCUGGUCUUGGGCUUCUGCUAAUCAUUGGCCUUCCUCAGCUGCUGGAAUCUAGAAAGGGUAAGAGACCCAUCCAGAAGGUGGAGAUGGGGACAUCGAGCCAGAACGAUGUGGACAUGAGCUGGAUCCCUCAGGAGACCUCGAACAGAUCAACAAAGCUUCUCCACGAAGGGUGCCCCAGAGAUGGGCACAGAGUCGAUUGGUGGGAUCUAUGAGUAAAUGUACCCUUGUGCAGCUGCUGAAGCUGUGCUUCCCUGCCUUUGUGUGUCCGCUUGGCGGGAGUGGACCUGGGACAUGUGGUGCUGCGGCAGGCGCCUGCUCCUAA